AGAUAGAGCGUGAUCAAGGGAUGAUGAAGCAUCUUAGGACUAGCAACAGCGGGGGACCUUGCACGGCUUCCAGACUUGAAGGGCAAAAGGGGAGAAGUGGCCACCAGAGAUUCUUGCUGUUACUGUGGGAGAGAGCUGCCUGACAAACUGAGGCGUUCGCGGGGAACCAAAGCUACUGAUGCUUUCUGGCACAAUGCUGAUUUCCCAAUAGGGAAUUAUUGCUGCCACACCCAUAACCUACAACAGAGGUUCUCCCUUGACCAGGAGCAUCAGCAUCACCUAUGGACUUGGCCAGAAAUGUCCACCCUUAGACUCCGUUCCCUAGUUCAGAAAUAGGCAGUGUAAGACUGGCGUGGCACUCCACCAUUAUCUUGGACCUGGUAUCCUGUCUGCUCUGCCACAUGUAACGUGUGUGACUAACAAUCUUCGCUGUGGUCCAACAUGGCUAGCAGGGCUCAGGCUCAUACGUCUGGCAGGAGGAAGGAAGUGAGGAAGAACAAAAAAGGCCUGGGCCAGCUGUCUGGUGCUCUGUCAAGGAGCAUUUCUAGAAGUGUCACCUGACACUUCCACUUGUGUGUCAUUGAUCAGACCUUAGUCACAUCGACACAACAAGGUUGGAUGAGAAAUACAGUCUUUUGUCUCAGCAGUUUCAUCCCUUGCAUAAAAUCAUGGUUGUACAGAACAGAUAUUGGGACGGCAGCUACCCAUCUCUGGCAUAAAUGCCAGUUUCAGAAGUAAGUAAGAAUGAAGUAUGUCUGAUGGAAAUAAACAUAAAAUCAAAGAUCAACAGGAGACAAACUAAAAUGGCUACCAAAAUGAAUGUGAACACACCCCAGAAGAGAACUGGAAAACAAAAUGUCCCCUAGCCCCAUGUGAACUGUGAGCUCCAGAAGGAAGAGACCCUGUGUGCCUCAUCUCCAGUUCUGGGCUUGGCAUUCAGUAGGCAUUUGAUAGAAGUUGGCUAACUGAACAAGAGUGCAUAAGAAGAUGCUGAGUAAUCUAGAAGAAGAGACUCCAAGUUCUUCAGCUUUUGGACUCCUGGACUUACACCAGUGAUCUGCCAGGGGCUCUCGGGCCUGCAGCCGCAGAUUGAAUGCUGCACUGUCAACUUCCCUACUUUUGAUGUUUUGGGACACAAGACUGGUUUCCUUGCUCCUCUGCUUGCAGAUGGCCUAUUGUGGGACUUCACCCUGGGAUCGUGCCAACUGGAAAUGAGAAUAGAAGCAUCUCUGAGUGAACACUUGACAUAGGACACUGGAAGAAGCAGUGCACACUGAUGGAAUGGGCAAGUGGUUCAUGCCAGAAGAUAAAGGACUUAACAUACCAGAAGCAGGCUCCAAAAUGUGUUUCAUCUCCUCUAAAGAGGUAAGGACCAAACAUUCUACAUAUGGGAAAAUGUGAGCAUUAAUAGAAACGAGUUGCUCCAACAAUAUAAAGACACCUACUGCACCAGGACCUCCCCCUGGCAAAGACUCUGAGGGCCAUGGUCUGAGUUUACCAUCCAAGAAAGCCCAGUGAAGAGGGCUGCCUGCUGCGAGGCCUGCAGACAUGGUCUAGGGAAGAGAAAUGGACUGAAGAGCGGCCCAGCACUGCCAACUCUCACCGGCUCCAUCCCACCUGGCUGCCUGCAUUUGUCCUUCAGGACCAGCCUCAUUCCUGCACAGUGCCUUUGCCUAUGCUCCUCUGCCUCUCCAAAAGUCUUUUUAUUUCCUCAUCUUUCAAAAUCUCAGGUUUUGUAUAGGUGCCAGUUCCUUUUGAAAAGCUUUCUAAUUCAUCCAACACACAUUUCUCUUCCCUAAAUGCUAUUAUUUACUCUCUGUAGCACACAUGAAGUCUGCAGCUUACCUUUAGGUCCAAAAGUUAUGCUGCUAAUGAAUUCAGCCAGUCAUUUUACCUGUGUGUUUUAUUGUUUAUAAGCAAGCCACAUUAUGUCUGCUUUGGGAGUAAAAUAUAACAACUGUAAAAUAACUUUUGCCAUGUUCCUUAUUACUCCUUUGCUAUGUUCCAUUCAUUCCUUUAAAGAAUAAAGUGCUUGUAUGCAGAUAUAUGUUUUCAAGAUUCUUUUGUAUCCUUCCUGUGAUCACAUAUACCACCUCUACCC